UCUCUUUUUAGAAAGCAAAGCUUUUUAACCUUGCAGAUCUCAUCCCCUGAGUUACAGCUCAACUGCUGUCUAUAAAAGGAUUUGGUAGGCUUCUUCCCCACAGAGAAUCAGUCUGCUCCAAGAGCAGCACUCCAAACAAGUAAUUUACUUUUAUAAACAGUAUAAAUAAAGCAGAAAUAGAAGGAAAUAUAUCAAAAACCUACAACAUGUCUUUCUUUAUAGCACCCUGGAUGGUUUAUUUUAUUUCUAGCAGAAGGUCUACAAGCUGUUGCAGUUGGCUAUCUGUGGGAGGUCCUCCUCUGUUCACAAAGAAUUUAGAAACUCAAAGUGAACCUUGAAGAAAGGGUGGGAUAGAAGGUGCCAACCCGCAUGGAUCAAAACCUAAGAAAAUAUUCACACCAACAUCUGUGAAGUAAAACUGUGAAGUUUCACACACAGCUGUCUGCAGAACACAUUCUGUCAAUGUGGUGAAGGAUCAACCCCCACCACCCCUUUCUUUGAUUGCAUUUACUGUUUCUUUGUCUUCUGUGUAUAUUUCUUAUGAUCCACUGAACAAAGUCAGGCAGACCCAAGGAAGUCUUGCUAUAAUUUUGAGAACGUUCUUUUAAGAAAAAUAAUUAAAGCUGAUUAAGCUCACUCUGAAACUUUUGAAGAAAAAUUCUGUGGAACAGUUAGGUAAAAGCUAGUAAUUUGAAAAUGAUUUUUGAAAUUCAAAUGCCACUGUUGUUUUACUGCAUUUUUUUUUACUGAAUCCUUCCAGUAAUACAGAAAAUAUUAAAAACUCUAAAGUAACCAGUCUAUAGGGUUAUCAUUUUCUCUUAUAAACAGAUAGACACCCACACUUUUCCAAAAGACUACUGCAAUUAAGUAUGUUUAUCAUCAAUUUUCUUGAAACAUUACAUUCUCAUCUGCAGGCAAGUAGGCCUGAUUACAGAUACUACAGAUACAGCCAAUCAGGGAAAAACACUUACAGAUUGAGUUCAGGUGUAAGAAACAGAGGGUAAGAUCUACAAACCACACAGCUUUGGUAAUAAAGUGGCAAUGGGAAUCUUAAAUGUAAAAAAAAUUGACAUCUUAAGUGUAGAAGAAAAAAAAAUCUAAAAAAGAGAAUCUUUUGCUUAAAAAAAGGAAAAAUCAAGUGAAACUAGUUUCCUUAGGAACAAUAACUGCGAUAAUAGAAAAUCAGCUUAUUGCCUACUUUUUGAUAAUUAAAAACUUUAAAUGUUUACUGAACAUAGCCUCCAGUGGAUUGCUUCUUACUUUUUGUGACUACAUAAAUCCAUUCGAUUCGAACAAGUUAAUAGAAUUUGAAUUAGAAAAUGUUGUGAUUAGACAAGAAGCAAGAUGUAAGAAAUGAUAAGUCUUUAGUACUCUGCAUAUGACUAAAAUGCACAAAUUUCUCUGUUCAGCAGUAAGUUAACUGCAAUUGUUAUUCUUCCUUGUGUUUAGUAAUGUAUAACCUGUGGGUAUUCUGUUUCACUAUACUUUUACUAUUUAAUUUAUGCAAAUACCACAACUUAGAUCCAGUUGGAAUCAUGCAAAAAUGAGGGGAAAAAAUGCUGUAAUUGCCCCUGUGUUAAUGUAUUUUGAAUGCAAUAAAAAUAUGAUGAGUUUCAUGACA